UCCGAGUUGACCCCGGCAGUCUCCUAUGAGUCCCCAACACCCCGAAGGGCUUGCUGGCAACAUAGAACGAGGGUUGCGCUCGUUGCGGGACUUAACCCAACAUCUCACGACACGAGCUGACGACAGCCAUGCACCACCUGUAUACCGACUAAAAGGGCACCUAUCUCUAGGUGUUUCCGGCAUAUGUCAAACCCAGGUAAGGUUCUUCGCGUUGCAUCGAAUUAAUCCGCAUGCUCCGCUGCUUGUGCGGGCCCCCGCCUAUUCCUUUGAGUUUUAACCUUGCGGCCGUAGUCCCCAGGCGGUGAACUUAAUGCGUUAGCUACGGCACGAAGGGGGUCAAUACCCCUCACACCUAGUGCCCAUCGUUUACAGCGUGGACUAC
rnacentral:misc_RNA from 1 species